rnacentral:rRNA from 1 species
GACGAACGCUGGCGGCGUGCUUAACACAUGCAAGUCGAACGAUGAAGCCGGAGCUUGCUCCGGUGGAUUAGUGGCGAACGGGUGAGUAACACGUGAGCAAUCUGCCCUUGACUCUGGGAUAACUGCGGGAAACUGUAGCUAAUACCGGAUACGACACCUUGGGGCAUCCAGGGUGUGGAAAGAAUUUCGGUCAAGGAUGAGCUCGCGGCCUAUCAGCUAGUUGGUGAGGUAAUGGCUAACCAAGGCGACGACGGGUAGCCGGCCUGAGAGGGUGACCGGCCACACUGGAACUGAGACACGGUCCAGACUCCUACGGGAGGCAGCAGUGGGGAAUAUUGCACAAUGGGCGAAAGCCUGAUGCAGCAACGCCGCGUGAGGGAUGAAGGCCUUCGGGUUGUAAACCUCUUUUAGCAGGGAAGAAGCGAAAGUGACGGUACCUGCAGAAAAAGCACCGGCUAACUACGUGCCAGCAGCCGCCGCGG